UACGGAGGGUGCGAGCGUUAUCCGGAUUCACUGGGUUUAAAGGGUGCGUAGGUGGGUAUGUAAGUCAGUGGUGAAAUCUCCGUGCUUAACACGGAAACUGCCAUUGAUACUAUGUUUCUUGAAUUUUCUGGAGGUUAGCGGAAUAUGUCAUGUAGCGGUGAAAUGCUUAGAUAUGACAUAGAACACCGAUUGCGAAGGCAGCUAACUACAGGGAUAUUGACACUCAGGCACGAAAGCGUGGGGAUCAAACAGG
rnacentral:rRNA from 1 species